UGUUGCUGAAUGGUAGAGCAGUUGCCUGGCAUGCAGCAGGCCCUGGGUUCAACCCCCAGCA
rnacentral:tRNA from 1 species